AGAUGGGUGCUCCAUCCGGGACAUCGGUGGCACACGUGGGAGCAAAGUGUGCGCACGCGCACAGCACCCUGGGCCGUUUUUGCCCGCGUCCGAGCUGGGAGGCACCGGGAGCCUAUCGCAGGCAGCUAAUCGCGGGUUUGCGUCUUUGCGAGUGAAUUCUCGUUUCCAGACGAGGAGCUCUGGGCCCGGUUAUCAGUCGUGGUCGCUGGUGCGGCCCAGCGGACCGUGGGGCGGACCCUGGAAGCAAUUCCACUGCAGGCGUCUUCUCGGUCCCCAGAAAGCAAAACGAUGGCACCGCCGUCGCCACCGCCGCCCAAACCGGAAGUCGGGCACGCCCUGGUGACCUCGCCAUUGUCCUGAUCGUCACCGGCACCGCCGUCCCGCUCGCAUCGGCGGCCGUUGGACACUCGCGUGGCUGAGGGCUUGCCUGUGUAAUUCGCUUCCCCAGCAGUCGCCCGAGAUCAGCUGUUACGAGUAUUCCCAUCAUGAGUUUCCCAUUUUUUAAAGGGGGAGAAUCAAAGUUCAGACAGACUCGCCAAAGCCCAUACGGCCGUCUAAUGAUACAGCCAGAAUGGGAACCCGUAAGGAUCCCAGAUCUGCAUUGCCUGCUGUCCAAGAUCUGACCGUAUUUGCAUCUGAAAGUUUUCCAGUAUUCUAGCUCUUUGCUUGAGAGAAGAAAAGUCUUCAACUCUUCUAGUCAGAAGGUCAGCGGGGUGUGCAGUAUUUUUCCCUUGACCUUUCUGUCAUCUCCCUCGAUGUGGAAGAAGCCGGAAAGCCCGCACACAAGAUCUACUGUCUGUGCCCCACCCACAGUUUCAACUCUAUGCAUCCUUUCCGUCCCAUAUAAGGGGCCAGGUUUCAAAGGACAGACGAAGACAUGACGACAGGUCACGGAGAAGACAAAAGACCCAGGCUGUCAGGUGCCGUUCAGGUGUCGUAGCCCUUCAGGGAUAGGUCGCCUUGCCCACGCUUUUGAGAGCGCCUCCAAGCCCAGGGCCUGUGAAAGUCUCACGUAACGCCCUCUACAUGUUAGGGCCUCCAGUCUUUCUACAGAUGUUAUCGCAAUCAACCACUCUCAGGUUGCCCUGUGGAUAGGGUUGGUAUUGUAUCUGUCUUGCAGAUUAAAUAAAUAGCUGAGUCAAAAGCA